rnacentral:misc_RNA from 1 species
UCGCUGUCACCUUUGGAGCGCGAGCAGAGGUGGCUCGUGUCUUCUGCUUUUCUUUUUCUGUCGUAGACGACGCGACAAGAGCUGGAAACGUACGCGCGCUCUCUCCCGUUCUGGGUAACGAAAGACAGGUGUACUCGCAAAACACACAGAGAGUGUGUGCGGGGGGGGGGCGGGGGCUACACUAAAUGAGUGGACACGCCCACAAACUUGAGGCACACUGCACAAGGAAACUACGUAGUCACCUCUCCGCCACCUCCGCAUAAAAAGGGUAACACACGCAAUCUCGGCCACGGAACAGCCAAGCGCCACACACUCCCCCGGCCGUCUUUAAUGGUAAGGGAUAAGCAAGAGUUGGUGUCGCCGGCCCCGUCAGCUAAGCCAUCUCCCCCCUCCCCCCGGCCCCCUCCCUCUCGCAACACAUUAGGCCAGCUUGUCAGAUUAAGAGCAGAGCCAUGCUGCUCAGCGAUGCGGAGGCCAAGAUCACGGCGGUGCUGAAGUCACUUCUCGACACCCCCCGCACUACCUAUGAGGUGGAGAACCUCUAUCAGUUGAACUGCGAGCGCAUCGCCGCCGUCCGCGCAGCACUGGCUGACAUGAGUGGCGACUACGUUGAGCAACUGCGCGAGAGGUGCGGCGAGGCAGAAAAGCAGGCACAGGCGAAGCGCGCCGCCGGCGUGGCCAACACGGCCGCCGCUGACAACGCCUUCUCUCUCGACUUUGCUCUGGACGAGGCGGAGGGGCAGAACGAGGCGGAAAUCGAGUCGGCGAUGGCCGCGGCAGCACACGGCAGCAGGCGACCAAAGAAGUCAACUGGAAAGGAAAAGUCCAAGAAGAACGACGGGGAGGAGAGAGGCAAGAAGAAGAAACGGACUUUAGAUGAUGAACCGCCCGUGGCGCCACUCCCUGCCGGCGGAAGCAGCUGCGAAGACAACGCUGCUGACAAGGCUACAUCGUCUCCGUCGACGAGGUGGGUGGUGCUGUCCCGCGAUGACGACCUCAUCAGUAGCGAAGUUCUGCCGGCGCUGUCGACGAGUGGCCGAGGAAAGUGCGAAGCGGUGCCAAACACUCCUCUGGCGCGAGUCUUUUUCACUGAGGAAGUGGUCCGGGAGGGCGCGUCAUGCCAGUGCGCGGUGGAGCUCUACCGGUGCGUGGUGAUCGCCAUGACGUGUGGCGAGCCGCAGCUGAGCUGGGCGGAGUGCGAGAAGAUGAUGCAAGCUCAAGCAGCGGCGGCAUCAAAAGCAGGCACCAUCGAGGACGAGUGUUUCUACUCCCGCUCUGGGAAGUGCGCCGGUGCCAGAUCGCCAAAGACGUCUUCGGAUGGAGACGGUGAGGGCACCGAAGACGCCAGCGCGUCUUUCAUCGAGGACAUGACCCUAUCAGAGCAGCUGAUCGCCCAGUACGAUCAUGCACAGCAGGCGGAGGAGGAGGACGCGGACACAUUGACUCUUCCGCGCGACGUCUCAGAGCGCUUCCAGCAGCGUCUCCGUGGCUUCACAGACGAAGUGUGGGUCGUUCUUCUCUGCCACGGCGGGUAUUUUGCCGGCGGUGUAUUCGCGAGAGGCACCUGCAUCACUCACAAGGCGUUUCAGCGCUAUGUAGUCCGUAAGAAGCAAGGCGGCAAGCAGUCCUCGAACGCGAAGGAAGCGGGGAGCUACAACAGCGUCGGAUCGCAAAUCCGCGCCGCACAGGAGGUAAAGUGGCGCGUCGAUGUGCGCGACAUUCUGCUGGACUGGAUGCCCUACAUCCAGGCCGCUUCUUUCAUUCUCUACGCCGCCCCAGGCCCUCAAAACAGAGCUGUUCUAACCGACUUUUCCCUCCUUCCCGCGGUGGCGUCGGUCGGGGGUAGAAAAGGCGUCUCGCCCAUUCAGCUGAAGGACCCGCGAGUGAGCCGAGUGCCAUUCACGACACACCGGCCCACCUUUGAGGAGGUGCUGCGCAUCUAUGGGGUAUGCUCGCGCUGCAGCUUACUCUACGUGAGACAAGAUGCGUAAAAAAGAAACAGAAGCUAAUCUUCGAGCUCACUGGAUGAAGUGCACAAAAGCUGCCAGGACCCACAAACAGCGUGCGAAUCUGAUGGGCAGUGAGGUGAGCACUAAAGAAUGCCGACGAAGCGGCAUGCAUGGUACUUAUGUUUGCGUUUGUGUGCGUGUUGGUGCAACAAUACCCCCUUCCCCCCGCCUUAAUCGACCUCAGCGUGGUUGUAUUGCGCACGCAGCCCCUUGGGGCAAGUUCACUCG